rnacentral:piRNA from 1 species
UAGAGGUCAGGGAAAACAAGCUUG